GGCGUGCCUAACACAUGCAAGUCGAACGAGAACGGAUAUAAGUUUACUUAUAUUGUCAGCUAAGUGGCGCACGGGUGAGUAAUAUAUAGUUAAUCUGCCCCAAAGAAGAGAAUAAUUGUUGGAAACGACUUGUAAUGCUCUAUAUGCCUUUAUCACAUAAGUGAGCAAGGGAAAUAUUUAUAGCUUUGGGAUGAGACUGUACGGUAUCAGCUAGUUGGUGAGGUAAUGGCUCACCAAGGCUAUGACAUCUAACUGGUUUGAGAGGAUGAUCAGUCACACUGGAACUGAGACACGGUCCAGACUCCUACGGGAGGCAGCAGUGGGGAAUAUUGCACAAUGGAGGAAACUCUGAUGCAGCAACGCCGCGUGGAGGAUGACACAUUUCGGUGCGUAAACUCCUUUUAUUAGGGAAGAUAAUGACGGUACCUAAUGAAUAAGCACCGGCUAACUCCGUGCCAGCAGCCGCGGUAAUACGGGGGGUGCAAGCGUUACUCGGAAUCACUGGGCGUAAAGAGCAUGUAGGCUGUAGAUUAAGUUGGAAGUGAAAUCCUAUGGCUCAACCAUAGAACUGCUUCCAAAACUGAUUUGCUAGAGUAUGGGAGAGGUAGAUGGAAUUUCUGGUGUAUGGGUAAAAUCCGUAGAGAUCAGAAGGAAUACCGAUUGCGAAGGCGAUCUACUGGAACAUUACUGACGCUGAGAUGCGAAAGCGUGGGGAGCAAACAGGAUUAGAUACCCUGGUAGUCCACGCCCUAAACGAUGCACACUAGUUGUUGCUAUGCUAGACAUA
rnacentral:rRNA from 1 species